rnacentral:rRNA from 1 species
CACGUAGGGUGCGAGCGUUGUUCGGAAUUAUUGGGCGUAAAGCGCAUGUAGGCGGCUUUGCAAGUCGCGUGUGAAAGCUCCAGGCUCAACCUGGAAAGUGCGCGCGAAACUGCUGUGGCUAGAGUCCGGUAGGGGAGCGUGGAAUUCCUGGUGUAGCGGUGAAAUGCGCAGAUAUCAGGAGGAACACCAAUGGCGAAGGCAGCUCACUGGGACGGUAUUGACGCUGAGACGCGAAAGCGUGGGGAGCAAACAGG